CCUUUGUCAGAAGAGUUCAUAGGCCUGUGUUUAUGUGUUUGUGGGUUUGCUUGGAUAACUCCAGACAGUAUGUAAUAGAGAGAGACAGUGAUCGGCUCUGAAAGAAUUCAAGCUCAAUCAAACUGAUCUCCUGUGCACAGCCAGGAUGCUAAUGUGCCUCCUGACUGGGGGCCUGAGGAUGAAGGGGAGGCUCUGUGACGGGACAACACACGGGACGACUGACGUGACCUUGACAGUCCGGAGAGGAGACGAAGACAGGAGUUCCAGGAAGAAGAUGAAGAGAGCACAUACAUAGGAAGA